AUACGGAGGGUGCGAGCGUUAAUCGGAAUUACUGGGCGUAAAGCACGCGUAGGCGGCUUGGCCAGUCGGAUGUGACAGCCCCGGGCUUAACCUGGGAAUUGCACUCGAAACUGCCGAGCUAGAGUAUGGGAGAGGGAAGUGGAAUUUCCGGUGUAGCGGUGAAAUGCGUAGAUAUCGGAAGGAACACCAGUGGCGAAGGCGGCUUCCUGGACCAAUACUGACGCUGAGGUGCGAAAGCGUGGGGAGCAAACAGGAUUAGAUACCCCAGUAGUCC
rnacentral:rRNA from 1 species